rnacentral:rRNA from 1 species
GACGUAGGGCGCGAGCGUUGUCCGGAUUUAUUGGGCGUAAAGAGCUCGUAGGUGGCUUGUCACGUCGGGUGUGAAAGCUUGGGGCUUAACUCCAGGUCUGCAUUCGAUACGGGCUGGCUAGAGGUAGGUAGGGGAGAACGGAAUUCCUGGUGUAGCGGUGAAAUGCGCAGAUAUCAGGAGGAACACCGGUGGCGAAGGCGGAUCUCUGGGCCAUUACUGACGCUGAGGAGCGAAAGCGUGGGGAGCGAACAGG